AUCUCCGACCAUGCCACCCUGCACAAGCCCCAUCCCAUCUGAUCUCGGAAGCUAAACAGAGUUGGGCCUGGUUAGUACUUCGAUAGGAGACCACCAAAGAAGACCAGAUGCUGUAGGCG
rnacentral:rRNA from 1 species